GGCUUCGUAGCUCAGCUGGUAGAGCGCUUCCCACGUUGAGGGGUGGUGUUUAUGUCGCUUGUUCGAACCCAGCCGAAGCUC